CGGCGAGUCACCUCGCGCGCCCGGCGCUCGGCGUCCAGCAGCACCCGCUCGUGGAGGCGACACUCGCGCACGGUACACACGCAGCACACGCAGAGGCCCUCGGUGCGGCAGAAGAGCUCGAGCGGCCGGCCGUGCCGGGGGCAGCGCGCGCCGAGGCCGGGAUCGGGGCCGGGGCCGGGGCCGGGGCCGGGCGUGGCGCGCAGCUCCUCCACCACCCCGCUCAGAGCCACGUUGCGACGCAGCUCGGCGCAGUCCGGGAAGGGCUCGCGGCACUCGGGGCACACCUUCUUGCGGCGGCCCCACCAGUCCCGGAUGCAGGCCCCACAGAAGUUGUGGCCGCAGAGCAGCGUCACCGGCUCCUUGUAGAGCUCCAGGCAGAUGGAGCAGACCAGCCGCCACUCCCAGCGCCUGCCCGCUGCAGCAUGCCCGUUCCGCCCAGCGCCGAUGGCUCCGGCUCCGAAGCGCCCCUGCCUGCCUUCUACUGCCCAGCCUGGGAGAUGGGGUCCAGCUCUCUCUGGUCCCACCCUGGGACCUCAUCCCGCUUCCCGAGAUCCUCAGUCCAACAGCUCUCGUGCAGGGGAUCUGGCCCCAGGUUCUGGAGACUAGAGCCUUGGGAAAGCCAUUGGACUUCCAAGCCUCCUCCUGGCCAAGGGCCACCAUCAGAACCUCUUCUGAGGCCCUCAUCUGAAAAUCUAAUGCAAGUAACACUGACAAGAAGUUAUCUACCUCCCACGGGGUUUGGCCAUUAAAUGAAUCAGGACAGCAGGUGGGAGUGCCUGGAAAGGAGCACAGGGCACACAGCUGGUGCUCAUUAAAUGCCCUCCUGAUCCAUGGGGCUCUGCUGCACUUUUUGCCUUGAGCUGAGUUUCAGCACUUGCCAGACUAGAGUGUCUCCCUGCUCUAGGCUAUGCCUAAUUUUGGUUCUUUUAAAGUAAACAGUGAGGUGGAAAUGUCUGGUUACCAAGAGACAGAGACCAGAAAAUAGUGGUUCCUUCCUACCCCCUUUAAUGGAAACUCAAAGCAGUCUUCAACUGCACUCAGCAUGCUGUGCUGGGGAGAGUUCCUUGUUUGUAGGUCCAAACUGUUCUGAAACCCCACUUCUUAAGGGAGUUGGUUCCCCUGCAGCUGAGCAAGAGGGGGUCUUGACCACUAACCCACCGUCCCUGGGGCAGUGUGCUGGGCCAGUGCGAGAGGCAGAGUUAACUUUCUCCUUUUCUGACCCAGCUGGUUUAAUUUUGAAGCAGGACAUCCUCUCACUUCCAUACAGCAAACCUCAUAUUGUCUUGUUUUGUAAUGUGUAUAGUUUUUCUUUCUGAUCUCGACUGGCUCCUAGGCAGUCUUCUCCUUUAGAGAAGAGAGAUGCACUAACCACCCAGCAAGCAUGCAGGAGCUUCCAGGGCUCUGAGCCGGGCAGUGUGCCCAGAGCCCUCUGAGACCUGCCUGUGCCCCACCUAACAAACCUUCAAAGCAUCUGAAGGCUGGGAGCAUGAGAAAAGCCAGUGAGGGGACAAUGCCCAGGGCUGGCAAAUUUCUUUCAAGAGGCCUGUGGGAGCAGCCAGGGCCCACCACCUGCGUUUCUUCUGUACCCGUCUUCAGCCACUGGAUCACAGGGCCUCUGACAGCCUCAGGAAGCACAGAAGAGUGAAGGAGAGACACAGGUGUGGACUGCUGCUGGCCUGAGCCCAUCCGUCUGUCUGCUCCAGGGGACUGCCCAGCCAGCCCACCCCAGGAAUGGCACGCCUGCUGCUGGCCCUCUCCUGCAGGCGCUUCUCCUGACAUGUCAGGGGAGGCGGCAGCAGGGACAUCCCCACCCAACGCUCCUAGAGACUGCUACAACUCUCCAGGAGGACCCCAAGAUGAUCUUCACUACACAGUCAGCCCCUGGAUCACCCGUCAGGGCCCUUGACACCCUCAGGAAGCAGAGGUGAGGGAUCACCUCCAGGGCUGGGAGGUGGUGGUUAAUCCAUGGUGGAGCCAAGACUCAAGUUCAAGUGCAGCUCUUUCGAGGAUGCGGGAACCUCCUCGAACGCUGAGCCACACCCUGAUCCCAGGUCACCUCCGGGGGCUGGGCAGCCUGGUGGGGAAAGAACGAGGGCGCUGUCACCCCAUCAGAGACGGACAAGCUGUUCUAAAUAGACCUUUAUUCUGGAGGGCAGGAGCCUUGGAGAAAGGAGAGCCCAUUCUGGACCAAGUGCCCUGGACAGCCCCUUGAGAGGCAAGUAA